rnacentral:rRNA from 1 species
GAGCUCUCAAUCUGUCAAUCCUUCCAGUGUCCGGGCCUGGUGAGAUUUCCCGUGUUGAGUCAAAUUAAGCCGCAGGCUCCACUCCUGGUGGUGCCCUUCCGUCAAUUCCUUUAAGUUUCAGCUUUGCAACCAUACUUCCCCCGGAACCCAAACGCUUUGGUUUCCCGAAAGCUUCCCGCAGAGCCUACAAAUGCAACUCAGCGGAUCGCUAGCUGGCAUCGUUUAUGGUUAGAACUAGGGCGGUAUCUGAUCGCCUUCGAACCUCUAACUUUCGUUCUUGAUUAAUGAAAACACUCUUGGCAAAUGCUUUCGCAGUAGUUAGUCCUCAAACGGUCCAAGAAUUUCACCUCUGUCGUCUGAGUACUAAUGCCCCCGGCUGUCCCUAUUAAUCAUUAAGUCAAUUUCCGAAAACCAAAAAAAUAGAAACGACUUCCUAUUCCAUUAUUCCAUGCACAAAUAUUCAAGCUUUGUAGCCUGCUUUGAGCACUCUAAUUUUUUCAAAGUAAAACUGCGAGCGUUCCAAGACAGCCGAUUAAAGCCACCUUGAGACCUCUUGCAAAAACACAGGUAAAUGGGGCAGUGCCGUCAGAAACGAACCGCCCCCUACCUGCCGAGAUCCAACUACGAGCUUUUUAACCGCAACAACUUUAAUAUACGCUAUUGGAGCUGGAAU